rnacentral:rRNA from 1 species
UACGGGGGGUGCGAGCGUUGUCCGGAAUCACUGGGCGUAAAGGGCGCGUAGGUGGCCUGAUAAGGGUGUGGUGAAAGUCCGGGGCUCAACCCCGGAUCUGCCGUGCCGACUGUCAGACUCGAGGACUGUAGAGGCAGGCGGAAUUCCGGGUGUAGCGGUGGAAUGCGUAGAGAUCCGGAGGAAGACCGGUGGCGAAGGCGGCCUGCUGGGCAGUUACUGACACUGAGGCGCGACAGCGUGGGGAGCAACAGG